AGAGUUUGAUCCUGGCUCAGAGUGAACGCUGGCGGCAGGCCUAACACAUGCAAGUCGAACGGCAGCACAGUAAGAGCUUGCUCUUAUGGGUGGCGAGUGGCGGACGGGUGAGGAAUACAUCGGAAUCUACUCUUUCGUGGGGGAUAACGUAGGGAAACUUACGCUAAUACCGCAUACGACCUACGGGUGAAAGCGGAGGACCUUCGGGCUUCGCGCGAUUGAAUGAGCCGAUGUCGGAUUAGCUAGUUGGCGGGGUAAAGGCCCACCAAGGCGACGAUCCGUAGCUGGUCUGAGAGGAUGAUCAGCCACACUGGAACUGAGACACGGUCCAGACUCCUACGGGAGGCAGCAGUGGGGAAUAUUGGACAAUGGGCGCAAGCCUGAUCCAGCCAUGCCGCGUGGGUGAAGAAGGCCUUCGGGUUGUAAAGCCCUUUUGUUGGGAAAGAAAAGCAGUCGGUUAAUACCCGAUUGUUCUGACGGUACCCAAAGAAUAAGCACCGGCUAACUUCGUGCCAGCAGCCGCGGUAAUACGAAGGGUGCAAGCGUUACUCGGAAUUACUGGGCGUAAAGCGUGCGUAGGUGGUGGUUUAAGUCUGUUGUGAAAGCCCUGGGCUCAACCUGGGAAUUGCAGUGGAUACUGGGUCACUAGAGUGUGGUAGAGGGUAGCGGAAUUCCCGGUGUAGCAGUGAAAUGCGUAGAGAUCGGGAGGAACAUCCGUGGCGAAGGCGGCUNCCNNGACCAAC
rnacentral:rRNA from 1 species